GCCCGGGUGGCGGAAUUGGUAGACGCGCACGGUUCAGGUCCGUGUGUCCGAGAGGAUGUGCUGGUUCGAAUCCAGUCUCGGGUA
rnacentral:tRNA from 1 species